rnacentral:rRNA from 1 species
AGCAGCCGCGGUAAUUCCAGCUCCAAUAGCGUAUAUUAAAGUUGUUGCAGUUAAAAAGCUCGUAGUUGAAUUUCGGGAUCAAUAUGUCGGUCGUGCCUCGGUACGUACUGGCGUCAUUGGUUUCUCCCUUCUGAAGAACCACGAUGUCAUUAAUUUGGUGUCGUGGGGAAUCAGGACUGUUACUUUGAAAAAAUUAGAGUGUUUAAAGCAGGCUCACGCUUGAAUACAUUAGCAUGGAAUAAUGAAAUAGGACGUUUGAUUCUAUUUUGUUGGUUUCUAGGAUCGACGUAAUGAUUAAUAGGGAUAGUUGGGGGCAUUAGUAUUCAAUUGUCAGAGGUGAAAUUCUUGGAUUUAUUGAAGACUAACUACUGCGAAAGCAUUUGCCAAGGAUGUUUUCAUUAAUCAAGAACGAAAGUUAGGGGAUCGAAGACGAUCAGAUACCGUCGUAGUCUUAACCAUAAACUAUGCCGACUAGGGAUCGGAUGAUGUUAAUUUUUUAAUGACUCAUUCGGCGCCUUACG